CCGGCUCUGACGCUUGACGGAUGAGCUGUUCCGCCCUGGCCCGUUCGGCAGCAGCAGUUGCCCUGCUGGGAUCUGGAGGCACAGCGCGCGUAUACGUGCGUGGGAAUCGGGUUGUCUCAACGAGGCGGGAGCCUGAACUAACCUGCCAAAGCCGGGGAGCGAGGUGCGAACGAGCGGCAGGACCUCCCACCGCAGCAAGGACUCCCGCCGGGGCUGGCGUUCAGCUGCAACCAUUUCCCCGUCCUCUGGCAUUCAGUUCCUUUGCUUCAGCCUCCGGUCCAGAGAGACGCCUGCACCUGCGAUCGCAGCCUUCGCCGUGCAGCCGCGAGGGAGAUGAUGCGCGCCAGGAGAGCCGGGCUUGCCUUGCCGGCACGCUGCUCAGACCGCUAGCUCGCCCGCGCUCGCUGCGAGCCCAGCCACCGCCUCGACGAUGCUGCAUCUCAAAGUCCAGUUUCUGGAUGACUCCCAGAAGAUCUUCGUAGUCGAUGUAAGUGGGCAUCAUCUUCUUAUUGUUUUGGGCGAGUUAAUUGCUGCUCUGAAGGAUUGCAUAAGCUGCUGAUGGUCUGUGAUAGCUUCUGGGUUCCAGCUUUGCAAAAAAAAAGAAAGAAAGAAAGAAAAAGCCAAAAAACAAACAAACAAACAAACAAAAGCAAAAAAAAAAAACCCAAACUCAAAGCGAGAGCUUGUCGUGCUGGUUGCUAAGUGUCUUUCAGCACCAACACACUCCCGCUGUCCUCUCUUAUUGGCAUUAUUUAUAAAGAGGAAGGAAUGGCUUUUACUUAUCUGGUGUCACCUUGUUUGGAAAUCAGCUGGUAUAAAGUGAUGGUCUUGACAAGUGGGGAAUUUUGUUUUCAUUUGUUUGGCUGCCAGUAUAAGCAUUCAACAAGGACAAAAAAUCUGGGAACAGAAUACAAAUAACAUAUUUAGCCAAACUAGCCAUGGUGAGAAGCAUCUGCAUGUACAUCUCUUUUUUGAUAUCUGAUUGAAAAAGAAAACUGUGUGGCUUUGAGGAUAGCUGAGGAGGAAAGAAACUCAUUGGAUCUUCUUUGCUGUAUUACAGUGUCCCAAAGCACGCUGUCAUUAGUCAGCCACACUUAAUAAAUACUAGCUCUGAAUAUGAACUGCUG
rnacentral:lncRNA from 1 species